rnacentral:rRNA from 1 species
GAUGAACGCUAGCUACAGGCUUAACACAUGCAAGUCGAGGGGUAACGAGAGGGAAGCUUGCUUUCCUUGUCGACGACCGGCGCACGGGUGAGUAACAAGUAUCCAACCUGCCCCCAACUACGGAAUAACCUUGCGAAAGUAAGACUAAUACCCUAUAAUUUCCUCAGAUGUCAUCUGACGAGGAAUAAAGAUUUAUCGGUUGUGGAUGGGGAUGCUUCUGAUUAGCUUGUUGGCGGGGUAACGGCCCACCAAGGCAACGAUCAGUAGGGGUUCUGAGAGGAAGGUCCCCCACAUUGGAACUGAGACACGGUCCAAACUCCUACGGGAGGCAGCAGUGAGGAAUAUUGGUCAAUGGGCGGAAGCCUGAACCAGCCAAGUAGCGUGCAGGAUGACGGCCCUAUGGGUUGUAAACUGCUUUUAUACAGGAAUAAAGUUAGCCACGUGUGGUUAUUUGUAGGUACUGUAUGAAUAAGGACCGGCUAAUUCCGUGCCAGCCGCCGCCGUAA